GGUGGGUGGAAGGUWYYGGAAUUGGUGGAAUAAGAGAAAUCGUAGGAAGCCGAGGAAGGGAAAGGAGCCCUGAGCUUGACAGUGGCGGACGGGUGAGUAACACGUAGGAAUCUGCCCCGAGGUGGGGAAUAACUGACCGAAAGGUUAGCUAAUUCCGCAUAAGAUCCGGAAGGAUGAAAGGCGCAAGUCGCCUUGGGAUGAGCCUGCGGCCGAUUAGCUAGUUGGUGAGGUAACGGCCCACCAAGGCGGUGAUCGGUAGCUGAUCUGAGAGGAUGGUCAGCCACACUGGAACUGAGAUACGGUCAGACUCCUACGGGAGGCAGCAGUAAGGGAUAUUGCACAAUGGGCGAAAGCUUGAUGCAGCAACGCCGCGUGCGCGAUGAAGGCCUUCGGGUCGUAAAGCGCUUUUCCGGGGGAAGAGGAAGGACAGUACCCUGGGAAUAAGUCUCGGCUAACUACGUGCCAGCAGCCGCGGUAAGACGUAGGAGGCGAGCGUUAUCCGGAUUUACUGGGCGUAAAGGGCAAGUAGGCGGCGGCCAAAGUUGUGUGUGAAAUCUCCCGGCUCAACUGGGAGGGAGCGUGCAAAACUAGGUCGCUAGAGGGCAGAAGAGGGGAGCAGAAUUCCUGGUGUAGCGGUGGAAUGCUCAGAUACCAGGAGGAAUACCAGUGGCGAAGGCGGCUCUCUGGUCUGAACCUGACGCUGAGAGGCGAAAGCUAGGGGAGCAACGGGCUUAGAUACCCGGUAGYCMCGCCCUAACGAUGUCNACUGNUGNUGGUCUUACUGACUCARWACGARCUACSCGUGARUUKACGCCUGGGARUACNGCCGCAG
rnacentral:rRNA from 1 species